UGGUUGUCUUGUGUCACGGCACGCCAAUCCACUGUGGUUCACUUCUGAAGAAGGAAGAUGUCCCCAAAACUGAGAAAUUUAUAAUAAAUUGUUAAGUAUCUGGGUUGAAGGCAGGGGGGUAUUCUAAUUAAAGCCGAACUUUCUACUGCAGUCCAGAUUGCGACCAGAAUGCGGUGCCUUCCACUGCCGAGCCGCGGGUCCAGAGCCCUCGGUCCUCUCUGCGUGGUGGGAGUCGCCGGAGCCAGUUCCAGCCGGAGACAAGAGAGCCAGGCAGAUUGUAAGCGAGCCGGACGAUGAAAAUGCAGUUCCCCUCAGCGGCUGCCACGUUUUCCUACAGCGGGGCGCGCCGGGGCUGUUUUUCGCUCCCCUGCCCCGACCCCGGGUCCGAGUGGCGCAGCCAGCGCGCCGGCGGCCGCCCGUGGCCGCUGUCCCCGCCGGUCUGGCAGCCCAGUCCGUCCAGCCGGGCCCCAGACCUGUGGGCUCCCGGGCCCAUGUGCUAUAGCAGGCCCAACUUCUGCAGGGGAUCCCCGUUACCUCCGUUUCAGAGCGGGAGGGCGCACGGAACCAGGCAGGCGCACCAAAACACACAUAGCCAAACAGGAUCACACGUAAGCAAACUGAA